CAGCGACCUGCGGGUAAGUGGAAAGAUGGCGGGCGGCAGACCAUGUGUGUUUCUCAGAUCAUAUGUCUGCUGGCCAUCAUCUUAAGAGUCUCCUUGCCUGUG
rnacentral:pre_miRNA from 1 species